rnacentral:rRNA from 1 species
AACGAACGCUGGCGGCGCGCCUAAUACAUGCAAGUCGAGCGAGAAGACGUAGCAAUACGUUUGUAAAGCGGCGAACGGGUGAGGAAUACAUGGGUAACCUACCCUCGAGUGGGGAAUAACUAGCCGAAAGGUUAGCUAAUACCGCGUACGCUCCUUGGACUUCGGUUCAGGGAGGAAGCGAUACCGUGGGUACCGCGCUCUUGGAUGGGCUCAUGUCCUAUCAGCUUGUUGGUGAGGUAACGGCUCACCAAGGCUUCGACGGGUAGCUGGUCUGAGAGACGAUCAGCCACACUGGCACUGCGACACGGGCCAGACUCCUACGGGA